rnacentral:SRP_RNA from 1 species
GCCGGGCAUGGUGGUGUGCGCCUGUAAUCCCAGCUACUCAGGAGGCUGAGGCAGGAGAAUUGCUUGAACCCAGGAGGCGGAGGUUGCAGUCAGCGGAGAUCGCGCCACUGCACUCCAGCCUGGGCAACAGAGCAAGAUUCUGCCUCAA